AUAGCCGUUAGAGACAGACCAUCUAGACUUUUCGGUAGUAUGAAGAUCCGACGGUCAGGAAUUAGUAGCCGUUAUUCAAAACGAGACGAGCACAUGCCCUUCUCUCCCAAUUUGAAUCUGAUUGAGAGAGAGAGAGAGAGAGAGAGAGAGAGAGAGAGAGAGAGAGCGGCUUCCUAUGGCAUUCAUUUCUCUCUCGGGAGUUUGAAGAUUCAAAGCUUUGUUAUUUGCCUUACUGUAAUCGAGUCCCUUGAUUUCUCUUCAAGGUGAUCGAAAUGGGAUCAAAAUAGAACAAUCCAGCUCUCGUUAGGCCUUCAAAUUUCCAAGCAAAAAUGUACAGCUGAUGAAACUUUGGACUAACCGGACUAGCGUAGUGGACAUUUCUGCAUUUGGACCCCCGAUCUGUAGGAAAGUGUAUCUAGGAAUUUCAAAGUGGUGUAUAAUUUAUGGGGUGGGAGUGAGUUGAGUGGAGUGAGUGGAUCCAAAUGCAGAAACUUCAUCAGAAUUGUUCUGGUAUGCUUUCUAAAAUCCCCCUCAAUAACUAUUUGUUUGCUUUGACUAUGCUUCCAUGAAAUUUCUGUCGAUUUUAAC